CCAGACUCCUACGGGAGGCAGCAGUGGGGAAUAUUGGACAAUGGGGGGAACCCUGAUCCAGCGACGCCGCGUGAGUGAAGAAGUAUUUCGGUAUGUAAAGCUCUAUCAGCAGGGAAGAAAGAAAUGACGGUACCUGACUAAGAAGCCCCGGCUAACUACGUGCCAGCAGCCGCGGUAAUACGUAUGGAGCAAGCGUUAUCCGGAUUUACUGGGUGUAAAGGGAGAGUAGGUGGCAGAGCAAGUCCGAAGUGAAAACCCAAAGCUCAACUAUGGGAAUGCUUUAGAAACUGCUCAGCUAGAGUGCAGGAGAGGCAAGUGGAAUUCUUAGUGUAGCGGUGAAAUGCGUAGAUAUUAGGAGGAACACCAGUGGCGAAGGCGGCUUACUGGACUGUAACUGACGUUGAGGCUCGAAAGCGUGGGGAGCAAACAGGAUUAGAUCCCCGUGUA
rnacentral:rRNA from 1 species